UACGGGUGCGGAACACGUGUGCACUGCUUUAUCUGGGGGAUAGCCUUUCGAAAGGAAGAUUAAUACCCCAUAAUAUGUUGGAUGGCAUCAUUCGACAUUGAAAACUCCGGUGGAUAGAGAUGGGCACGCGCAAGAUUAGAUAGUUGGUGAGGUAACGGCUCACCAAGUCUACGAUCUUUAGGGGGCCUGAGAGGGUGAUCCCCCACACUGGUACUGAGACACGGACCAGACUCCUACGGGAGGCAGCAGUGAGGAAUAUUGGACAAUGGGUGAGAGCCUGAUCCAGCCAUCCCGCGUGAAGGACGACUGCCCUAUGGGUUGUAAACUUCUUUUGUAUAGGGAUAAACCUACCCUCGUGAGGGUAGCUGAAGGUACUAUACGAAUAAGCACCGGUAACUCCGUGCCAGCAGCCGCGGUAAUACGGAGGGUGCAAGCGUAUCCGGAUUUAUUGGGUUUAAAGGGUCCCGAGGCGGGAUUCUGAAAGUCACAGUGGGGUUGNGAAAAUUCCUUCCCACAAAGGUUUAACACUGGGUCGAAAAACCUGGGCCCCAUCGGGCAAUAACCGGACAGGUACUNGGAAAGUGGAUCGGACGNNGAACG
rnacentral:rRNA from 1 species